AACGAACGCUGGCGGCGUGCUUAACACAUGCAAGUCGAACGUGAAAGGGGGUUCGCCCCUGAGUAAAGUGGCAGACGGGUGAGUAACGCGUGGGUAAUUUGUCCCUGGGUGUGGAAUAACCAGCCGAAAGGCUGGCUAAUACCGCAUAAGAACACGUCUCUUUGGAGAUGCGGUAAAAGAUUUCGUUUGCCUGGGGAGGGGCCCGCGGCAGAUUAGCUAGUUGGUGAGGUAAUGGCUCACCAAGGCAUCGAUCUGUAGCUGGUCUGAGAGGAUGAUCAGCCACACUGGUACUUAGACACGGACCAGACUCCUACGGGAGGCAGCAGUGGGGAAUAUUGCGCAAUGGGCGAAAGCCUGACGCAGCAACGCCGCGUGGGUGAUGAAGGCCUUCGGGUCGUAAAGCCCUGUCAGAUGGGAAGAAACCUGCGCAAGCAGCUGACGGUACCAUCAAAGGAAGCACCGGCUAACUCCGUGCCAGCCGCCGCGGUAAGAC
rnacentral:rRNA from 1 species